rnacentral:rRNA from 1 species
GUCCACGCCCUAAACGAUGCUUACUCGACGUAUGGCACUAGUUGUUGUGCGUCCAAGGGAAACCGUUAAGUAAGCCACCUGGGGAGUACGACCGCAAGGUUGAAACUCAAAGGAAUUGACGGGGUCCGCACAAGCGGUGGAGCAUGUGGUUUAAUUCGAUGAUACGCGAGGAACCUUACCUGGGCUAGAAUGCGAGUGACGUCCCGGGAAACCGGGAUUCCCUUCGGGGCACAAAGCAAGGUGCUGCAUGGCUGUCGU